CUGCAGCCAAUUAAGCCUACGAGGUUCCUGUCCUCAUGGUGGCCCUGUGUGCAGUGGCCGCAAACAGCAGCCUCCUUGGGAGUGUAGUAACCUACUGCUUGUACAGGUGACCCUAAGGGACCUGGGGACAGUC
ensembl:snoRNA SNORA70 Small nucleolar RNA SNORA70